GCAUUUAGUUGGGUCGACUCUAAGGGGACGUGCCGGUGAUAAGCCGAGAGGAAGUGGGGAUGACGUCAAGUCCUCAUGGCCCUUACGGGCUGGGCUACACACGUGCUACAAUGGUGGUGACAGUGGGCAGCGAGCACGCGAGUGUGAGCUAAUCUCCAAAAGCCAUCUCAGUUCGGAUUGCACUCUGCAACUCGAGUGCAUGAAGUUGGAAUCGCUAGUAAUCGCGGAUCAGCAUGCCGCGGUGAAUACGUUCCCGGGCCUU
rnacentral:rRNA from 1 species